rnacentral:lncRNA from 1 species
UUAACAAGUGGUAUGUGUAAGCAACCAGAUAACAUCAGAUCUUUGCAUGGCAGCGAUUGUAUUCCAUUUGAGAAUACUGUGACAUGUACUUUAUCUUUGUCCACUGUUAUAAUAAUGCUUCACAGGCUACAAAAGAGAGUGCCCAUUGCUACUUGUCACACUGUCAUCCUGAAGCCAGUGUCAUCUGCAGGCUGGAUGAUAGGCUGAGAACUACUGGAAGUGUUGCCCUGACUGAAAAUCUGUGCAACAUUGGCGGCAGAAUGCAUGGUGGGAUUAUGCCAGCACAGGAACAAACAAUACUGUGAUGGGUUGAAGCUGAUCCGGAGCUGAGCACACAUGCACUAGCCAG